AUGGCCGCGAUGCAGGAGGAGUUCGACACUUUGCAGCGGAACCGGACUUGGCAGCUUGUUCCCCGUCCCCGGCACGCCAACGUGAUCACCGGGAAGUGGGUCUUCAAACACAAGCUUCGUCCCGAUGGCACACUUGACCGCUAUAAGGCGCGUUGGGUUGUUCCUGGCUUCCGGCAAUGCGCCGGCGUGGACUUCACCGACACCUUCGUUCCGGUUGUUAAGCCCGGGGCGAUCCGCACUGUUUUACAGCUGGCGGUCUCUCGUGCCUGGCCGGUUCAUCAGAUGGACGUCUCCAACGCCUUCCUCCAUGGUCAUCUUGAGGAGCAGGUCUUCUGUCAGCAGCCCACGGGGUUUGUUGAUCCGGCGUGUCCCGAUCCGACGGAGGGGCGUGCGAUGCACCCAAUCAAUACAUUGAGAGUUGCAUCCUAUUCCUCUACACCUAGGAAGUAG
rnacentral:rRNA from 1 species